CCCCUAGAUGUCCUGGGCCGCACGCGCAAUACAAUGUAAAGUUCAGAAAGCAUAUCCUGUUCCGGAAGGCAAUGGGUAAUCUUUUCAAUAUUUUACGUGUUAGGGAUCGAUCUUUGCAAUUAUAGAUCUUGAACGAGGAAUACCUAGUAAGUGCAGCUCAUCAGGCUGUACUGAUUACGUCCCUGCCCUUUGUACACACCGCCCGUCGCUCCUACCGAUUUCGAGCGGUCCGGUGAAUCUUUUGGAAUUAGAGUGCAAACUCAAACUAAGAUCGAUAAACCUUAUCACUUAGAGGAAGGAGAAGUCGUAACA
rnacentral:rRNA from 1 species